rnacentral:rRNA from 1 species
CCUACGGGUGGCAGCAGUGGGGAAUUUUGGACAAUGGGCGCAAGCCUGAUCCAGCUAUUCCGCGUGUGGGAAGACGGCCUUCGGGUUGUAAACCACUUUUGUAGAGAACGAAAAGUCUAUAGAUAAUACCGUUAGACGUUGACGGUACUCUAAGAAUAAGCACCGGCUAACUACGUGCCAGCAGCCGCGGUAAUACGUAGGGUGCGAGCGUUAAUCGGAAUUACUGGGCGUAAAGGGAGCGCAGGGGGUUUUGCAAGUUAGAUGUGAAAGCCCCGGGCUUAACCUGGGAAAGGCAUACAUGACUGGAAGGCUUGAGUGCGUCAGAGGGGGGUGGAAUUCCAGGUGUAGCGGUGAAAUGCGUAGAUAUCUGGAAGAACACCGAUGGCGAAGGCAGCCCCCUGGGACGCAACUGACGCUCAUGCACGAAAGCGUGGGGAGCAAACAGGAUUAGAUACCCGAGUAGUC